GGGUAGAGCUCAGUGGUAGAGCGUGUGCUUAGCAUGAACAAGGUCCUGGGUUCAAUCCCCAGUACUUCCA
rnacentral:tRNA from 1 species